rnacentral:rRNA from 1 species
AUUGAGCGCUGGCGGCAGGCCUAACACAUGCAAGUCGAACGGUAACAGGAAGCAGCUUGCUGCUUCGCUGACGAGUGGCGGACGGGUGAGUAAUGUCUGGGAAACUGCCUGAUGGAGGGGGAUAACUACUGGAAACGGUAGCUAAUACCGCAUAACGUCGCAAGACCAAAGAGGGGGACCCUCGGGCCUCUUGCCAUCGGAUGUGCCCAGAUGGGAUUAGCUUGUUGGUGGGGUAACGGCUCACCAAGGCGACGAUCCCUAGCUGGUCUGAGAGGAUGACCAGCCACACUGGAACUGAGACACGGUCCAGACUCCUACGGGAGGCAGCAGUGGGGAAUAUUGCACAAUGGGCGCAAGCCUGAUGCAGCCAUGCCGCGUGUAUGAAGAAGGCCUUCGGGUUGUAAAGUACUUUCAGCGGGGAGGAAGGGAGUAAAGUUAAUACCUUUGCUCAUUGACGUUACCCGCAGAAGAAGCACCGGCUAACUCCGUGCCAGCCGCCGCCGUAA